AUUGAACGCUGGCGGCAGGCCUAACACAUGCAAGUCGAGCGGCAGCGGGAAAGUAGCUUGCUACUUUUGCCGGCGAGCGGCGGACGGGUGAGUAAUGCCUGGGAAAUUGCCCAGUCGAGGGGGAUAACAGUUGGAAACGACUGCUAAUACCGCAUACGCCCUACGGGGGAAAGCAGGGGACCUUCGGGCCUUGCGCGAUUGGAUAUGCCCAGGUGGGAUUAGCUAGUUGGUGAGGUAAUGGCUCACCAAGGCGACGAUCCCUAGCUGGUCUGGGAGGAUGAUCAGCCACACUGGAACUGAGGCACGGUCCAGACUCCGACGGGAGGCAGCAGUGGGGAAUAUUGCACAAUGGGGGAAACCCUGAUGCAGCCAUGCCGCGUGUGUGAAGAAGGCCUUCGGGUUGUAAAGCACUUUCAGCGAGGAGGAAAGGUUGAUGCCUAAUACGUAUCAACUGUGACGUUACUCGCAGAAGAAGCACCGGCUAACUCCGUGCCAGCCGCCGCCGUAAAAC
rnacentral:rRNA from 1 species